UGCCCCCAUUAAAGCUUCUUCACCGCAAGUGGCAACGUCUAUUUCUUUGUUUAUGGAUCUCGCUAUUCAUUGCUCCUCUCUCUCUCUCUCUCUCUCUCUCUCUCUCUCUCUCUCUCUCGCGGCCGCCAUUGGAGGAGCUACGAGGAGGAGAAGAGACAGUGAAAGGGGUUAUCGAGAGCGGAUGCUAUCGGUGGAGCUGGAAGGAAGAGGAACAUCGAGGACGAUCGGUAGUGAGAUCACUGUCUUUAGCUUGUUUCUUUUCUUUAAAAUCCGGAGGAGAUUCAGAAUAAUGUGUUCUUCUUAGGGUUGGAAUAUGUCUUCCCUCUCUCUGUGGCCAUUGCAGGAGCUCGGAGGAGGAAGGAAAGCAUCAACGUGAACUGGCGGAUUAGAGGUGGUCCAAUUGGAGGAAUGGAAUAGAGAUGUCAAUCCGAAGAUUUCACAAUGAAGCCCGAAGAGAACACUUCUUCGUAGGCUAAACAUUUCAAAUGUGCACGUGCCAGUGAAUCACUCCUCAUUCUGUAAAGUUGUUGUGAUUCUUUUUAAUACCAAAAAGUUUGCAAGAAAAAGGUAUCACUUUGUGUUUUCUAUGCCAUUCUGAAAGAUGAGGGUCUGCUUAAAAGUCUUCAAAUAGGCUGAAAGUGCAAUUAGGAGUUGUUGGAGAACAACAGGGAAGGUAUUAGCAUCAGAACUUCCAAAAGUCGGAAGCAAAACUUGUACCAUUUUAUAUCCUGCCUUUGUCAAGGCAUGAAGUGAUCUAGGCGAGUGUUUGUUUGUUAUUGGAAUAUAUAGUUAUUUUCCUUUAUCUAGACCCUUUUUGAUUUA